CUUGCUUCUCUUGAGAGCGGCGGACGGGUGAGUAAUGCCUAGGAAUCUGCCUGGUAGUGGGGGAUAACGUCCGGAAACGGACGCUAAUACCGCAUACGUCCUACGGGAGAAAGCAGGGGACCUUCGGGCCUUGCGCUAUCAGAUGAGCCUAGGUCGGAUUAGCUAGUUGGUGGGGUAAUGGCUCACCAAGGCGACGAUCCGUAACUGGUCUGAGAGGAUGAUCAGUCACACUGGAACUGAGACACGGUCCAGACUCCUACGGGAGGCAGCAGUGGGGAAUAUUGGACAAUGGGCGAAAGCCUGAUCCAGCCAUGCCGCGUGUGUGAAGAAGGUCUUCGGAUUGUAAAGCACUUUAAGUUGGGAGGAAGGGCAGUAAAUUAAUACUUUGCUGUUUUGACGUUACCGACAGAAUAAGCACCGGCUAACUCUGUGCCAGCAGCCGCGGUAAUACAGAGGGUGCAAGCGUUAAUCGGAAUUACUGGGCGUAAAGCGCGCGUAGGUGGUUCGUUAAGUUGGAUGUGAAAUCCCCGGGCUCAACCUGGGAACUGCAUUCAAAACUGACGAGCUAGAGUAUGGUAGAGGGUGGUGGAAUUUCCUGUGUAGCGGUGAAAUGCGUAGAUAUAGGAAGGAACACCAGUGG
rnacentral:rRNA from 1 species